GGAGGGCCAGACUAGCGCGGACGGGCGAGGGAUCUUAGGAUGUUCCUGUGAGCUUUUCUGCGUCACGGCAGUGUGUACUGGUAACCAAGCCUGGUGCUGCUUGACCACAAAGCCAAGUCACUCAACAUGCAGCCCAGCCUGCCUUGCAUCCUCCUGCCUCAGCCUCCCAAAUGCUGGGAUUACAGGUGUGGUCCACCAUGCCACUGCCCACUGGCUUGCCCUCCCACGCUCUUUGUGGUGCUGGGGAUCAAAACCAGGACCUGUGCAUGCUCAGGAAAUGUUCUACCACAAAGCUACAUCUCGAACCCUCAACUCUCACACUUGCCAUCCUCCUGCCUCCAGAAUGCUGGAACUAGAGCAGCUUUUAAUCUAGGGCCUUGUUAUGGUUUGGAUGCUACAUGACCCCACAGGCCUCUGGAUUAGAGGUUUGCUCCCCAGGGGGAACCUUGGAGAGGUGGUACUUGGGAGAGUCUGUAGGUCACAGGUAGUGUGGCCUCAGCAGGGACUGUGUGCCCCUAGUCAAUGUAGCAAUUUAGAAAAAAACUGUCUCAAUAAAUAAAGGACUGAAGAAUUUUAAAAAGAACAAGAGUGGAGGUGUAGUUCAGUGCAGAGGCCCUGGGUUCAAUCCUCCAUACUGAAAAAGGAAGGCAGGAAGGGAAGGAGGGAGGGAAGAAAGAGAAGGAAGAGGAGGGAGCAGGAAGGGAAAAAUAAAAGAAAAUGAUUCAAAGAAUGUUAUGGCUGUAUUUAGACGUUGCCUCAGAGCCACAUGUGGUCAUAGGUGGAGCUUUUCGGAGGUAGCUGGGUCAGGGUGUAUAACGCUGGGAUGAAGGAUUUGAUGCUGGGAUUGAUUCACUGUGUGAUGCUAAGACUAAAGGUGUGAGUACUACUCACCCUAAGGCCAGGUAGCCUGGAUAAGUUAUAAGGGACACAAAGAGCUGUGCUCCUCGCUUGUUGCUUGUAGCUUGCUGGGUUGGCUGCCCCCUGCCUGCCAUGGACUGUUUCUCCUCUGCGAUGCCCUCUGCCAUGCCACCUGGCCUUGAAGCCAGAGUUGACUAUGGACUGAAACUGCUGCAAACUGUGAGCUAAAUAAACCUUUUCUAACUUUGGGUGUUAGAUAUUUUGUCUCAGCGAUGAGAAAAAGUAACUGAGAUAAAGAAUAAAAGAUUCAAUCCCAUUAGUAAUUAGGAAAUAAGUGUUAAAACCACUAGUAAACUUCCAUUUCUCGCCCAAACGAUUGUCCAACAUUAAAAGUUGGACAAUACAGGGGCCAGGGAUUUAGCUCAAUGGUUCUGCCACCUGCCCCAAAAGCACAAGAACUCAAGUUUGAUUCCUGGUACAAAAAAAAAAGUUGGAGAAUACAAAAUUUUAAAGAACAUGUC
rnacentral:lncRNA from 1 species